GUGCCGACUCCACCCCAGGCGUUAGCGCUGACUCUGCCCACGGACCCGGGAUCAUUCUAGACAGGUUUUUCUAACUGGUGUUUUCCAGUAAUAUUACAAUAACUGAGACUCUGCAAGGACUUGAUGCCUAGCCUGACCCUCUGAGCCUCACUCUUCUCGAUGUGUCUUCAUAGUGAAGAGUUAUGCAUGAUCAUCUGGUCUACCAGUGCCUAUAGCAUAUCUAUGUGAUGGAGGCAGUCAGAAAGAGGGAGCUGGUCAGGGGCCAGAAGCCAGGAGCCAGGUCACCCUGCUGUUGGCUCUGCCCCCUCCUGCAAUGCUCAGUUCCUUUCCUGUGGCCUCCUUGGCCGCUCCAAGCCAGUCCUCACUUCCCUUUAGGUUUGGGGAAGCGGAGAGCUGUUCUAACAGCUGGACCUGGUGUGGAGCCGAGACCCUCUGGAUUCCCCUCCUGGCCUUCCCCUCUAACACCCUCUGCAUCCAAGAACCCUGGACCCCACCCUGCCCCGAUGCAAAACCAGAAACAAACCACAAGCAAGUUGCCCCCUUGUCUGUACACACACGUGGAGUCGGAGCAAGUUGCCCAAGAGGAGUUCUCUGGGGCCGGGCUUCCCAGCCCCUAGCUCUGUUCUUGGGAGAAUGGUGAGUCUCUGUCCUGGACCUCUGUUGGGGGUGGCUCUGAGGGAGCGGGAUGGGCCAGCCUAGUAGAAGCCAGGUUCCUUGCACAACCUCUCAUGUAGCUUAGUCCCUGUCCUCAUGGAGGUCCUUGCUCAGUGGCCUCUGAGGACAGCUUCUGUUCUGUUCCCUGGACUCGUGAGUAUGGUAGCUGAGGUCCCCAGCCUGCAGGGAGAGGGCAUCUCUAAGUCCUGCGGGCUUCAUUCCUAUGCAGGACAGGUAGGCUGCAGGCUCUAACACGCCGCCAGCCUGGCUCUAGAGGCUUCAGCACCAGGGAAAAUUUGAAAAAAAAAAAAAAAAAAAAAAAAA